GUAUCCAUGGUUAGCAUGUCCAUAUCAGUUUUGAACCAAGUAUACAGGCAUCUUGGGCCGGAUCCGGCACUACGAGACUCAGACCCAUCAGACCCGCGGGUAUAAUUCUUACCAGACCCGUAUGCUAGUCGGAUCUAUAUCCGUCGGAUAUUCAGGGAUCCAGUACCAAUUGCCAUCCAUACUAAGAAAAGAGGUCCGAUACCGGUAGUACAUCUUGAUAGCUCAUCUCAAAAGGAAAAUUAGAUAGAUCCACCUCUACUGUCCGACACCAAAUUCUGCUGUAAAAACCCCAACACACCGAAAGCCGCAAAUACCACAUUCUCGGCAUCAUCGUUGGCGGCAUGGCGGGCGCCGGCGCCGGCGCCAGCGACAAGAGCAGGACGCUGCUCAGGUCGCCUAGUGAGGCCGCGGUGGGCAAACGAAGGAGGGAGAAGUGGGAGGUGGAAUUCGCGCGCUACUUCCUGAGGCCGCGGCGCGGACCGGCGACGCCGCCACCACCCGGCCUUCGUUAUAUAUCUCGCGGCAAGCUCCGCCACCAGGGCACAUGGCUCCCGGCUGCCAGCCCCGCGACGCUCCGCAUCGCUCCACCCAGCCACUCCUUUGCUGCACCCGUCCUCACCGUUUCCAUCGGCGACGUCGUCUACGAGGAGCACCAUGUGUACACCCUCAACUUUUCAUGGCCGCAGGUUGCAUGCAUGACACAGUGCCCAAUUAGAGGGAGCAGGGUGGUAUUCAUGAGCUUUUGUGAUCAAUCCAAACAGAUUCAGAAGUUUGCUGUACGUUUCCCGCACCUCAGUGAUGCAGAGUCAUUCUUGAAUAGUGUGAAGGAAUGCUCAAGAAACACCAUAGAUAUCUUAACAUCCAGAAGUGACUAUGUGUGUGAAGAUUCGUCAUCGUCUGAAUAUACUGCUUCCGAUGGGCUUCAAUACAGGCUUGAUGAGGCGACAAACUUUGAGGAGCCAACUUCUUAUCACGGGACAUAUGCCCCUGCAGUAAGCUACCACGAGGAACCUGACCAGCCUGUUCUUCGGUCUCCCCGUGCAACAAAUAUCGACGAAAUCUACUCUGGUUUCCCUCAUUGUUACUCUGAAGUGCUUACAAGUUAUUCUAUUAAAAAUGAGAAAGAUGGGGAAGAACCCUGUCUGGCGACUGCAACUGACCAUGCUCCUGAAAAUGCCUACAUACUGGAUGGAUGUCAUGAUGGAAUGAUUUCAGCAGUUUCAGUUGCUGGUAAUGAAUCUAUUGCUGAUAAAGGAAAGGUUGGUGGUAAGGAGGUUGAUGCUAAUAAAGAAACAUGUGAUCUUUUGGCAGGGAUGAAGACAUAUGGGACCGACGACUCUUUUCAUGAUAUGUUGUCCAAGCUCGACAAAGCCAUUGAUGAACUGGGUGGUGACAUGUUACUUUAGGUAGUGAAACCUCAUGUGAUGCUCGAAGGCCUUUACUUGCCUCUGACCAUAGUUUCGCCUAGUGUCCACUGCAGAUUUUCCGGACUUGUGAGCAACUACUCAUUGGCCUUACGAUGCCAGAUCGAUUUCAUUAACACAAGGAAAGCACGGGAUUGUUUGCUGAUGUAUUAUUUGAAACCUCGUAGCCUCAAGAAUCUGAUGCGCAUGCAUCUAUUUCUUCUUGACUUAUCGGCGGGAACUGUUAUGUGGGAGGUCAGCGUCUCAGCGAGAAUGCUCGAGAACUGUUAUGUGGCCGUGUGCACUUUUCGAAAAAAGAAGAAGCGAGAAUGCUCGGUUCUGUGUUAAUGGAGAAGCUGGUUUGUUAGUUCCCAACCUGGGCACCUGGCGAUUAUGGAUGUCGUCUUGCAUGCUUCACUUGGUGCAUGCUUCGGAAAGCAUGUUAUCAAAGUGACGUGAUCCAUGUGAUCAACUUACCUGGAAAAGAACUAUGGAACGGGUACUUAUUGUGAGGACUCUAAUUAAAUUGCUGAAAUUUGCGGAUGAAAUUUUUUAGGGAAAUCCAAAUGAAAUUUUAGGAACUAAGAUCUCA